UGCCAUGGAUGAGGAUGAGGAUGAGGAUGAUGAUGAUGAUGAUGACACCGAGGAUGAUGAUGUAAUGGAAGAGGAUUAUCAUCGGACUGAUCCCCGUUCUUUCAGAGUGUUACGGCCAUGUGGCCAUGAGUUUCACCAAGAUUGCAUCACCACAUGGUUUGAGAUGAGCAACGGCCUUACGUGCCCUCUUUGUCGGUGUAUAGUGCGCACCAACAAUGACGAUUUCAAUACGUGGGCAAGAGUUUAUAAUCGUUUGCUGUAACGUCUCGAUUUUUAAAGGUUAAAUUUUGCAUCUGAAUUUUGAGCUUGAGAUGAGGAGUUAUUUUUGUUUUUUAGAGCUUUCGAUGUUCUCUUAGACCCCCAUUGUUCUGUGUUGCUACGCAAAUUUUGGUUGCAUAGGUAAGCGUAACAGAAGGGUAUUUGAACAACUACCUUUAGAACUCUUGUUUAUUUGCUGAAUUGAGGUGGAUUAUGAUAACCUAAAGUUGAUUAUGA